rnacentral:rRNA from 1 species
UACAGAGGGUGCGAGCGUUGUUCGGAAUUACUGGGCGUAAAGCGCGCGCAGGCGGCUUCUUAAGUCCAUCGGUGAAAUGCCGGGCUCAACCCCGAGUGUGCCGAGGAUACUGGGAGGCUGGAGACGAGUAGAGGCAAGCGGAAUUCCGGGUGUAGCGGUGGAAUGCGUAGAGAUCCGGAAGAACACCGGAGGCGAAGGCGGCUUGCUGGGCUUGGUCUGACGCUGAGGCGCGAAAGCCAGGGGAGCAAACGGG